CAGUGACAACAUUUAAAAGGCAUUUGGAUGCGUAUAUGAAUAGAAAGGGUUCAGAGAGAUUUGGGCCAAAUGCUGGCAAAUAGAACUAGAUUUAUAUAGGAUCCAAGUUGAACGGGAGGGUCUGCUUCCAUGGUGUAUAUCUCUCUGACUCUAUGGACAACAUUCACUAAAUAAUCUUGAGUGUGCCACGAAGUAUGCUAACAGUACUUUGAGAUUGCCAAUCAGAUUCACAGUGAGAUGCACUUGCAUGUACUGCAUAUAAUGUAUAGCAAGGCCCCAGUUCUUUGCGGACAGAAAAAAAAGCGUCGGUACUGUGCCUCUUUGAACUUAACACAAUAGACAACAUCCAUUCACUGGUUCAUUCCCAUGAUAAUGUCAUAUCCAGUCAGACUCAACCUUCCUGAUUUAAAUUUAAACAAAGCUUGGCAGUUAACAUUAACUGAUUAUCAUUAACUGUUACAUUCUCCAUGGAAAUGCCUCUACCAAUCAUAGUUCAUUUGCCAAUCAAUCAGCAUUGGCUUCAUUGCCCUUUAUUUUGGUAUUUCUUGUGAAUAUCCUGAUGAGUGCAAGAUGAAAAGCUUUGACAAAAUGUGUUAUUUCUGUUUCAGAAAUACUCAUAUUUAAGAGUGUUGCCUUGUCUGAUUAAUACAACUGAAAAUGGGUUUAUCACAAAUGAAUAGUAUUCUUAAAUUACUGUCAACCACAACGUGUGGUUAACCCAAUUUUAAAUGACUGUAAAUUACUUCAGAAUUUCAGUGUGAAAGCACUCACCUCCUGGUCCGCUGAGACCUCACUUGGUGUUUAGCUGCUCUCAGUUGGGGUCAGAGUCAAAGUUAAAAGGUAAUUGACCGUGAGACCCCCCAGUUAAUUGUUAUAUUUUAGGUGCCAACCUUUCUCCCUGGCUGUGAUGGCCUGCCCCCAUCCAUCCUCAGUUAAAACCAGUAGUGGAUGUGUUGGAAGCUGAUUUGGACCAAGAAUUUGAGUUUUAAGACUGAAUCUUACCUUUUCUUGAGUCAGAAGUCCCCCAUGAGUCAUAAACUUUUCAGAACAAGAGGUGAAAUCUGGCUGCAGUUUCACUUGAGCCAUUUAUUACCUCCUCCACAACAAUCUUUUAUUUCUACCCUACUUUAUCACUUGCAUCUGUCUCAUUAUCAUGCUUACAUUGAUCCUGUUUACUUUAUCCUAUCCUAAAAUUUUCCAUCUUGUUGUUUUUCUCUAUCCCACACCUUCACUCUUGUACCUGGUGCUUUACUUGUUUCGCCUCAAACAUCUUCCAAUUCUGACAACAGGCUAUCAAUCUGAAUUUUUAACUCUGUUCCUCUCUCUACAGAAUGCCAUUUGCUGAGUGUUUUGGGAAUUUUGUUUUCUUAUUUCAAACUUCCUGCGUUAGCAGUAUUUUGACCUUAUCUUAAUGCCCAUGCAAGUUGUAUUUUUUUUAAACAAAAUCCCCUUUUGCUCUCUUACAAAUCAUGCUUAUUUUGAUCCAUCAGGUUGGGCUUUCACAUUGACCAGGAACCAGUUGACAUCUAAUAGGAGUGCAACCACCAGUGAGAAUCAUUUGGAGGAGGAAGAGAUCCAUUAUACUGCUCUGAAUCUAUCUCCAACAAAUCCAACACAUAGUGCAGCAUGUCAAAUGGUGUAUGCAGAAGUUUAGCAGGGAGCCCUGUUAAAAAAAAAACUCUCAUCACCAUCCAGCUCUAUAUCAAAGUGACUGAAAACAGAACACAACACAAGCAUUUCACCAGUUUUGCUGCAUUUAAUUUUGUUCAAAGCUUUUAACAUUAUCUUGGCAAGAGGUUAGAACAAUGCCGAGCAGAUUUUCAUUUACUGACUAGGAAAUGUUGACAUUGAUAGUUGCACUGCUCAACAUGAACUGGCUCAUUAGGUCAAGGAAAGUUUUGGCUUUCGGACAUUGGCCUGAGCUAUGUGAGGCUUGGACAAACACAAGGGCUGGUCCCAGUAUUCCUGGACUCGGGAGGGAGAAGGAAAUCAUCCAGCCAUCGUUCCCACUGCUGAUUGCUACCCAGGUCAUUUACCAACAUCAAUCAGAACAAGACUUGGCUCCAACAUUUGAUCAGGUAGCUUUUGAGGGUCUGCUACUCUCGUGUGCAACAACAUAGCCAUUUGGCUAAGGCUCAUCCUAGCAUCAUCUGAUGCCCAUCAUAUGGUGGGGUAGAUGUUUUACUUGCCACCUUGGGUGUCUUCCUUGGUGGUGGCUCAUCUGCAACGUCGGCCACAAUUUUGGGAGCAGUAAACUGGAAAUCUAACGCAGUCACUCCAUCCAAGCAAGGAUCAACAUCUCCAGUUGUGGAGAAAAAGAAAGAAUGCAGAAAAACAAACAAUUGGUCUGAAAAUAUAAAGAAAUGUUGGAACAGUGAAUGUACUGUUUCAUUAUCAUUUGAGGAUGUUUGUAAAGUUAACAGCACUUAAACCAGGAAUUUUUAAUCUAGAUCUUUUUCUAAAAGAUGUUCAGAAAGAUAUUUUGGUUAUUUACUAAUUAGUUUAAUAUUAAAGGAGGUACAGAAGUGAAACGUCAUUAGAGCUGUAGACUAGACUGUGUCAUUGUGAAAUAAAGAGAAUCACUUUGAUACUUAAGUAUCUGUUCUCUGUUAUGGAGAUUGGAAUCAAUGGUUGGUUUAAUUCUGUCAUGGGAUGUGGGUGUCGUUGGCUAGGCCCCAAUUUCACGCCUAAGAGCAUAAGCAAUAAUGACAGGAGUUGGCCAUUCAGCAUCUUGAGCCCACUCUGUCAUUCAGUGAUCUACUUCAACACCAUUUUCCUGAACGUAUCCCCAUAUCCCUUGAUAACGCCCCACUAUUUCAGGGAAUGAGGGGGGGAAAUGGGGAAUUACAGACCUGUUAGCUUUACAUGAGUGGUAGAGAAAAAUGCCAGAAUUUAUUAUAAUGUGAUUGACUCUUAACUGCCUGGCUAGCAAUGUCCACAAUCUGUGAAUGAUAAAAGAAAUGAAUAAAGGAUGUGGUAAGCACUUGCUAUUA